AUGCUUACUUCAGCAGCAUAUACACUAAAAUUGGAACGAUACAGAGAACAUUAGCAUGGCCCCUAUGCAAGGAUGGUACACAGAUUCAGGAAGUGUUCUCUAUUUUG
rnacentral:snRNA from 1 species